AAGAAUCCGGUUUAUUGCAUUCGACAUGCCUGCAUCGAGCCCUCGUGUAUCAAACCAUUGUGUCUUCCCACUACAACUUGUUUUUCUCCUCGAUCCUUUUGAAAAUCCAAGAAAGUUCAGAAACCAAAGAAUGAAACGGGGAACAGUUACCCCACUGCCAGAACUGAUUGCUGAGCCAACCAACAAUCACUCCAUGUCGCUUUUGGGAACUCACGAGGACCUGGCUGAAACCAUCAAAGGUGAAGGCAAUGCGGUGCUGUUGAUUGGUGGAAUUUUGGGAUCUUUCUGUAUGAGCUAUUAUUUUGUGGCUUUUCUUCUAAUAAAUCAUAGAACUGAAUUCGGAUGUGGAAGGCAAUGAUGCACUAUGGUUUGCUUAAUAAAAUCUCUGCUUGAAGAAUGAAUUUUUGGUGUAAUAUACAGAGUUCUUAGUUUCUGCUAUUCCUUUGUUAAUUUUCCAAGAGGUGCUGCUGUUCAAAUGUUGCAAUUUUGGAGAGUUAUGAGAAUGUUGGUGAAGAAUCUAUUGAAGCCUUCAAAAGUUUAAUAUGAAUGAUUGUCCUUUGCAGAAAACGCAAGGUGAAGGGAACGAAAGACGAGAGUUGUCAAAGAUAUAUAGCCACAAUAUUCCUUGGAUUAACAUUGAUCACAAGUUCGUCUACCAUCCCUACGAUGAAGGACGAUCUUCGAUUAGAUUCAAUCCUUUAUUUACAACAUUCCAUCCUUAUGCUCUUUUUAGGAUCCAACUCUCGGAUACAAUAUGUCAACAUUGCAAUGGCACUAUAAGCUCUUUUCAGAUGAUCAAUUCAUGUCACCGAUGAGUGGAGUGGAGAAUAAGGAAGCUGUGAUAGCCGAGCAUCAAUCGCAGUUGGUCUAAUGUCACUGAAGCUCCACCAAGAAAAGCGCUUCAUUGUCUUCCAUGAUGCGAAUCAGCCCCUUGUGUUUCAUUAGCGGCAUGGAGGAGAGGAAGAGGAGCAGCAGCAGAACUGUUUAGAGGAACUCAAAAUCCGCAAGUACUUUUUGUAAAAGCCUGCCCCACUGUCAAGAUAUUAUCCGUUUUGAAUACAACACGUUCUGAGAGCUUAGGAGCCUGUCCCAAGCGACGUGGGAUAUCACACUCUUCUUCUUGAUGCACAAUGAUACUACGAAGAAUAUGCUUCAAGGAUGAAUAUCUGGAGUUAUUCACAACUUCAAUUGUUGUUGAAAGUUUCUGCUACUAUCUCCACAAGCUUUUACUUUCUGCACUUCUUCCAGAGAUGUGAAUAGAGACGCAACAAAGAUUAUGCUUAGAAGUAGUUUCAGAAUCAGACUUGAGAACAUUUUGGUUGUACAAAUUAUAGAUUUACAUGAUUUUUGAUGUAUUUUACAUUUU